UGCCGGCUUUCCAUCAGCCGGGGUACUGAAGAGGCACACCAUCAUUGCCGGAAGUGCGGUAGGGUCCCCCUCCAAUCCAUGGCAGACAAAGCCGAACCGAUUGCCUUGGCAGGCGUUGGUUCACCAACUGUGCAUCAGGCGCGUGUUGAGGUU
rfam:Rhizobium sp. RT36D genome assembly, contig: Ga0136764_101